UACGUAGGGGGCAAGCGUUAUCCGGAUUUACUGGGUGUAAAGGGAGCGUAGACGGCGAUGCAAGUCUGAAGUGAAAGGCGGGGGCCCAACCCCCGGACUGCUUUGGAAACUGGCAGGCUGGAGUGCCGGAGAGGCAGGCGGAAUUCCUAGUGUAGCGGUGAAAUGCGUAGAUAUUAGGAGGAACACCAGUGGCGAAGGCGGCCUGCUGGACGGUGACUGACGCUGAGGCUCGAAAGCGUGGGGAGCAAACAGG
rnacentral:rRNA from 1 species